rnacentral:rRNA from 1 species
CAGCAGCCGCGGAAAUACGUAGGGUGCGAGCGUUAAUCGGAAUUACUGGGCGUAAAGCGUGCGCAGGCGGUUCGUUAAGACAGAUGUGAAAUCCCCGGGCUUAACCUGGGAACUGCAUUUGUGACUGACGGGCUAGAGUAUGGCAGAGGGGGGUAGAAUUCCACGUGUAGCAGUGAAAUGCGUAGAGAUGUGGAGGAAUACCGAUGGCGAAGGCAGCCCCCUGGGCCAAUACUGACGCUCAUGCACGAAAGCGUGGGGAGCAAACAGGAUUAGAUACCCCAGUAGUCCCUGUCUCUUAUAC